GCUCCUACAGCUCAGUUGGGCUAGAGGGUGCAACACUCAUAAUCUUUUGGUCCCUGGUUCGAGCCCAGGUGGGAGCA
rnacentral:tRNA from 1 species